rfam:Trichobilharzia regenti genome assembly, scaffold: TRE_scaffold0003124
AUCCAGAUGACGAGUCCCAAAUAGGACACGCGAAAUGCGCAUCCUGGAU